rnacentral:rRNA from 1 species
UGCCAGUAGUCAUAUGCUUGUCUUAAAGAUUAAGCCAUGCAUGUCUAAGUAUAAAUAGUAUACAGUGAAACUGCGAACGGCUCAUUAAAACAGUUAUAGUUUACUUGAUAAUCAAAUUACAUGGAUAACCGUAGUAAUUCUAGAGCUAAUACAUGCGAAAAGAGCCGACGCAAGAAGGCUUGAAUUUAUUAGUUGCAAACCAGCGGCUUUCGGGUCGAUGUGAUGAUUCAUGAUAACUGAUCGGAGCGAGGCCUGGCCUCGCCUCAUCAAUCAAGUUUCUGCCCUAUCACUUUGAAGGUAGUGUAUUGGACUACCUUGAGGAUGACGGGUACGGGGAAUUAGGGUUUGAAACCGGAGAGGGAGCCUGAGAAACGGCUACCACUUCUAAGGAAGGCAGCAGGCGCGUAAAUUACCCAAUGCCGACUCGGCGAGGUAGUGACAAGAAAUAAUAACUCGGGGCCUCACGGCUUUACGAGAUUAAAAUGAGAACAAUCCAAAACACUUAGCGAGGAACAAUUGGAGGACAAGUCUGG